rnacentral:tRNA from 1 species
GGUAGAGCAACUGACUUGUAAUCAGUAGGUUGGGGGUUCAAGUCCCUUCGCCAGCU